rnacentral:ncRNA from 1 species
CGGACUUAAUUGGAUUGAGCCUUAGUAUGGAAACCUGCUAAGUGCUAACUUCCAAAUUCAGAGAAACCCUGGAACUAAAAAUGGGCAAUCCUGAGCCAAAUCUUUAUUUUUAGAAAAACAAGGGUUUAAAAACUAGACUAGAAUAAAAAAAAGGGAUAGGUGCAGAGACUCAAUGGAAGCUGUUCUAACGAAUGGAGUUGACUACGUUGCGUUAUAAUAACAGGAAUAGAAUAAUCCUUCUAUCGAAAUUAAAGAAAGGGUGACCUAUAUAUCUAAUACGUACGUAUACAUACUGACAUAUCAAACGAUUAAUCAUGACCCGAAUCCAUAUAUUAUAUAUACACGUAUAUGCAAUAUAUGCAAAAUUCAGAGGUGGAUCUAUUCCAAUCGAAGUUGACGGAAGAAUCGAAUAUUCAGUGAUCAAAUCAUUCAUUCCAGAGUUUAAUAGACCCCCUUUUUGAAAAACUGAUUAAUCGGACGAGAAUAAAGAGAGAGUCCCGUUCUACAUGUCAAUACCGACAACAAUGAAAUUUAUAGUAAGAGGAAAAUCCGUCGACUUUAGAAAUCGUGAGGGUUCAAGUCCCUCUAUCCCCA